rnacentral:lncRNA from 1 species
CAGAGUCUUCCUAAUAACAAUAGAGAACAUCAAUCAACAAUAACAACCUUAUAACAACCUUCCACUAAAGUGUGUAUGCCAAAAUAACUCUUAGAGAAGAUAAAACUACUCAAAUUGUAUAUUAAAAUAACAAACUUAGUGGUAGACAUAACAUACUAAAUUUGUAGAUCAAACGAAGCAAGUUUGCUACACACAUGUUACCACCACCGGAACCAAACCCUUAUUUUUCUUCUCUGGCAGUCGUUCUCUUUGUUCUUCUACAUUCAGAUGUAACAUCCGAGCCUAGGAAGGAAGAGGGAAGGCAAGGGUCCCAGGAGCUAUCAGUAUUAGCUGCUGACUGGUGACGAGAGGAUCAUAUAGUUUGAGAGUUGGAUCGAGUUGGAAAGCGUGGUUAUGUCGGAAUUGAAUUGAAUGUGCCCUAUCCCGCGAAGGAGAGGAACCCGUUAAAUCCCUUUUAUUUCCUUCACAUGGGCCUAGCCCAAUAAUACCUUUUUUU